CGGGAUGGACAUACCUCUGGUGUACCAGUUGUCGUGCCAACGGCAUAGCUGGGUAGCUAUGUGUGGACGGGAUAAGUGCUGAAAGCAUCUAAGCAUGAAGCCCCCCUCAAGAUGAGAUUUCCCAACUUCGGUUAUAAGAUCCCUCAAAGAUGAUGAGGUUAAUAGGUUCGAGGUGGAAGCAUGGUGACAUGUGGAGCUGACGAAUACUAAUCGAUCGAAGACUUAAUCAA
rnacentral:rRNA from 1 species